GAACUGCGAUAAGUAAUGUGAUUUGCAGAAUUCAGUGAAUCAUCGAGUCUUUGAACGCACAUUGCGCCCCCUGGCAUUCCGGGGGGCAUGCCUGUCCGAGCGUCAUUACUGCCCUUCAAGCCCGGCUUGUGUGUUGGGACGUCGUCCCCCCCGGGGGACGGACCGGAAAGGCAGCGGCGGCACCGUGUCCGGUCCUCGAGCGUAUGGGGCUUUGUCACCCGCUCGAUUAGGACCGGCCGGGCGCCCGCCGGCGUCAAACCCCAAUCUUUCUAAGGUUGACCUCGGAUCAGGUAGGGAUACCCGCUGAACUUAAGC
rnacentral:misc_RNA from 1 species